GAUGAACGCUGGCGGCGUGCCUAAUACAUGCAAGUCGAGCGAACAGACGAGGAGCUUGCUCCUCUGACGUUAGCGGCGGACGGGUGAGUAACACGUGGAUAACCUACCUAUAAGACUGGGAUAACUUCGGGAAACCGGAGCUAAUACCGGAUAAUAUAUUGAACCGCAUGGUUCAAUAGUGAAAGACGGUUUUGCUGUCACUUAUAGAUGGAUCCGCGCCGCAUUAGCUAUUUGGUAAGGUAACGGCUUACCAAGGCGACGAUGCGUAGCCGACCUGAGAGGGUGAUCGGCCACACUGGAACUGAGACACGGUCCAGACUCCUACGGGAGGCAGAAGUAGGGAAUCUUCCGCAAUGGGCGAAAGCCUGACGGAGCAACGCCGCGUGAGUGAUGAAGGUCUUCGGAUCGUAAAACUCUGUUAUUAGGGAAGAACAAAUGUGUAAGUAACUAUGCACGUCUUGACGGUACCUAAUCAGAAAGCCACGGCUAACUACGUG
rnacentral:rRNA from 1 species